rnacentral:tRNA from 1 species
UUAUGCAAUGAACUUAAAAUUCAUUUAUAAAGAUUAAUCUUUUUUUAGAA